AUUGAACGCUGGCGGAACGCUUUACACAUGCAAGUCGAACGGUAACAGCGAGGAAAGCUUGCUUUUUUCGGCUGACGAGUGGCGAACGGGUGAGUAAUACAUCGGAACGUGUCCGCUCGUGGGGGACAACCAUCCGAAAGGAUGGCUAAUACCGCAUGAGUUCUACGGAAGAAAGAGGGGGACCUGCUUGCAGGCCUCUCGCGAGCGGAGCGGCCGAUGACUGAUUAGCCAGUUGGUGAGGUAACGGCUCACCAAAGCAACGAUCAGUAGCUGGUCUGAGAGGACGACCAGCCACACUGGGACUGAGACACGGCCCAGACUCCUACGGGAGGCAGCAGUGGGGAAUUUUGGACAAUGGGCGCAAGCCUGAUCCAGCUAUUCCGCGUGUGGGAUGACGGCCCUCGGGUUGUAAACCACUUUAGUAGAGAACGAAAAGGAGCUAUCGAAUAAAUAGCUCUGCUGACGGUACUCUAAGAAUAAGCACCGGCUAACUACGUGCCAGCAGCCGCGGUAAUACGUAGGGUGCGAGCGUUAAUCGGAAUUACUGGGCGUAAAGGGUGUGCAGGCGGCUGAGUAAGACAGAUGUGAAAUCCCCGGGCUUAACCUGGGAACCGCAUAUGUGACUGCUUGGCUAGAGUGCGUCAGAGGGAGGUGGAAUUCCACGUGUAGCAGUGAAAUGCGUAGAUAUGUGGAAGAACACCGAUGGCGAAGGCAGCCUCCUGGGACGCAACUGACGCUCAUACACGAAAGCGUGGGGAGCAAACAGGAUUAGAUACCCUGGUAGUCCACGCCCUAAACGAUGUCAACUAGUUGUUGGGGAUUAAAUUCCUCAGUAACGCAGCCAACGCGUGAAGUUGACCGCCUGGGAAGUACGGUCGCAAGACUAAAACUCAAAGGAAUUGACGGGGACCCGCACAAGCGGUGGAUGAUGUGGAUUAAUUCGAUGCAACGCGAAAAACCUUACCUACCCUUGACAUGUCAGAGAAGCUUUUGUAAUGAGAGUGUGCCCGCAAGGGCGUCUGAACACAGGUGCUGCAUGGCUGUCGUCAGCUCGUGUCGUGAGAUGUUGGGUUAAGUCCCGCAACGAGCGCAACCCUUGUCACUAGUUGCUACGAAAGGGCACUCUAGUGAGACUGCCGGUGACAAACCGGAGGAAGGUGGGGAUGACGUCAAGUCCUCAUGGCCCUUAUGGGUAGGGCUUCACACGUCAUACAAUGGUCGGAACAGAGGGCAGCCAACCCGUGAGGGGGAGCAAAUCCCAGAAAACCGAUCGUAGUCCGGAUUGCAGUCUGCAACUCGACUGCAUGAAGUCGGAAUCGCUAGUAAUCGCGGAUCAGCAUGCCGCGGUGAAUACGUUCCCGGGUCUUGUACACACCGCCCGUCAAACAAUGGGAGUGGUGUUUACCAGAAGUCGUUAGCCUAACCGCAAGGAGGGCGGCGACCACGGUGAGCACCGUGACUAAUGUUAAGUCGUAACAAGGUAGCCGUACCGGAAGGUGCGGCUGGAUCACCUCCUUUCAAGAGAAAGCGAAUGAAGGCUUUUAGAAGACGCUUGAAUUCAUUCAGCGCUCACUCUUAUCGGCAGUCGAUAAAUGAAAAGACGAUGGGUCUUUAGCUCAGCUGGUUAGAGCACCGUCUUGAUAAGGCGGGGGUCGAUGGUUCAAGUCCAUCAAGACCCACCAUAGUUCUGAGACGGGGGUAUAGCUCAGCUGGGAGAGCACCUGCUUUGCAAGCAGGGGGUCAACGGUUCGAUCCCGUUUACCUCCACCAACAAGAGACAAGAUGAAAACGCGUUUGACGCGCUUUGAUAUUGUCUUUUGACAAUACGUUCUUUAACAAUUCGGAAAGAUUGAAAAAUCUAACGUUAAGACUGAUUUGAUGAGAGUCAGUCAAGACGGGUAGUGAUUGGAAAUCAAGCAAAGUUAAAGCUUUGAGAUUUCUCAAGCAUGAGACAUUGACAGCAUAUGGGCACAAAGAACCAAGUUACUUGUGACCCGGCCGGGCAAUAGGCGGCAGGGUUAUAGGAUCAAGUGACUAAGUGCAUGUGGCGGAUGCCUUGGCGAUCACAGGCGAAGAAAGACGCGGCAGCCUGCGAAAAGCUGCGGGGAGCUGGCAAACAAGCAUUGAUCCGCAGAUAUCUGAAUGGGGGAACCCACACCGCAAGGUGUAUCUGCAUCUGAAUACGUAGGAUGCAGAGGCGAACGAGGAGAACUGAAACAUCUAAGUAUCCUCAGGAAAAGAAAUCAACCGAGAUUCCGGCAGUAGCGGCGAGCGACCCCGGAAGAGCCUAACAGCUGAUAGUUUGAAGCGUAGUCGAACGGAAUGGAAAGUCCGGCCAUAGCGGGUGAUAGCCCCGUAGGCGAAACGCUUUGGAUGGUACUAAGGCAGUGAGAAGUAGAGCGGGACACGUGGAAUCCUGUUCGAAGACGGGGGGACCAUCCUCCAAGGCUAAAUACUCGUGAUCGACCGAUAGUGAACC
rnacentral:misc_RNA from 1 species